CRASUUGUUGCAUGCMUARCUUGAAUAUUCUACGGUGGGCCUACAUAUGUUGGUCUAGGGAUGGYCAUSRCAAUAUCGCGAAAACCGGCGCACGGGUGAGUAACGCGUAUGCAACCUGCCCUCUACCGGGGGAUAGCCCGUCGAAAGGCGGAUUAAUACCCCAUAAUACUGUAAUCCUGCAUGGGAUAUCAGUUAAAGCUUAGGUGGUAAAGGAUGGGCAUGCGUGACAUUAGCUAGUUGGUAGGGUAACGGCCUACCAAGGCUACGAUGUCUAGGGGUUCUGAGAGGAAGGUCCCCCACACUGGUACUGAGACACGGACCAGACUCCUACGGGAGGCAGCAGUGAGGAAUAUUGGUCAAUGGGCGAGAGCCUGAACCAGCCAUCCCGCGUGCAGGAAGAAGGCCCUAUGGGUUGUAAACUGCUUUUGUGCAUGAAGAACACCCCCGACGCGCUCGGGGGCUGACGGUAAUGCGUGAAUAAGCACCGGCUAACUCCGUGCCAGCAGCCGCGGUAAUACGGAGGGUGCAAGCGUUAUCCGGAUUUAUUGGGUUUAAAGGGUGCGUAGCGGCYCGUUAAGUCAGUGGUGAAACCUGCGGCUCAACCGUAGCGUGCCAUUGAACUGACAGGCUUGAGUAACCAUGAGCAGCGGAUGUGUAGUGUAGCGGUGAAAUGCUUAGAUAUUACACAGACACGAUUGCGUAGCAGCUUGCUAAAGUCACUGACGCUGAUGCACGAAGCGUGGGGAUCGACAGGAUUARAUACCCUGGUAGUCACGCCGUAACGAUGAUACUCGCUGUGGCGAUACMMGUCAGCGGCUACGAAGSGUUAGUUAUCCMCCUGGGGAGUACSCUCSAAGAGUGAACUCAAGAUGACGGGGUCYGCMCAGCGGARGAAAUGKGGUUUAAUUCAURAWCCGRGACCUUACUGGCUAAUGKGCCUGACCGCGGAAAYYGGCUUUCCUAAGACGGUACAGGKSUSCWUGUUKKCUCYCACYYGKCCKGGRGGKKCCGGUWAUUCCCYAU
rnacentral:rRNA from 1 species